rnacentral:rRNA from 1 species
UGCAAGUCGAACGGACUCUUCGGAGUUAGUGGCGGACGGGUGAGUAACACGUGGGAACGUGCCUUUUGGUUCGGAAUAGCUCCUGGAAACGGGUGGUAAUGCCGAAUGUGCCCUUCGGGGGAAAGAUUUAUCGCCAUUAGAGCGGCCCGCGUCUGAUUAGCUAGUUGGUGAGGUAAAGGCUCACCAAGGCUACGAUCAGUAGCUGGUCUGAGAGGAUGACCAGCCACAUUGGGACUGAGACACGGCCCAAACUCCUACGGGGGGCAGCAAUUAGGAAUCUUGCGCAAUGGACGAAAGUCUGACGCAGCGACGCCGCGUGAGGGAUGACGGCCUUCGGGUUGUAAACCUCUUUUGCCGAGGAAGAAGAAUGUGACGGUACUCGGUGAAUAAGCCCCGGCUAACUACGUGCCAGCAGCCGCGGUAAUACGUAGGGGGCGAGCGUUGUCCGAAGUUACUGGGCGUAAAGCGCGCGUAGGCGGCUUUUUAAGUCUGGGGUGAAAGGUUCAACGCUCAACGUGAACAGUGCCUUGGAUACUGGGAAGCUUGAAUGUGGCAGAGGAUAGUGGAAUGGCUGGUGUAGCGGUGAAAUGCGUAGAUAUCAGUCGGAACACCCAUGGCGAAGGCAGCUAUCUGGGCUAACAUUGACGCUGAGGUGCGAAAGCGUGGGGAGCGAACGGGAUUAGAUACCCCGGUAGUCCACGCCGUANACGAUGAGUGCUAGGUGUAGGCGGUAUCGACCCCGCCUGUGCCGUCGCUAACGCAUUAAGCACUCCGGCCUGGGGAGUACGGCCGCAAGGUUGAAACUCA